CCUAAAGUGGUCAACUGGUCACUGGGAAGGUUCCACGUGAGACAGCUGGUAAUGUGAAUGCUGGGGGAGGACGGCCAAGGUUGGGCUUCCCCUAGCCCUUCAGAGGGGCUUCCGUUGGGGGUCACACAAAGGACUUUCACUGACCUCCCUCUGUGUACCUGUAGACCUUGCCCUCAUUUGCAGAAAGAACACAGGACUCCUGCACAUCGCAGUACAAGAAGCAGACUCCCUUGCACAACCCCGGAGCACUGAAGCCACAAUUGUAUGCUGGCACGGAGUCCGGGCAUGAUGAAGAAAUGUUGCGGGCCACUGCACUCCCUUUGCUGAUGAAUGACCCUAAACCCCUUUAAAAAUGCUUGGGCCAGGCAGAAACCUCAGAGUUGGCUUUUGGACAGGAGUCCACCUUCUCCCCAGGUUGCCAGUCUCCUGAAUAAAGCUCAAAUUCCCUUCCAAUCAAAA